rnacentral:rRNA from 1 species
UACGUAGGAUGCAAGCGUUGUCCGGAAUCAUUGGGCGUAAAGGGCGUGCAGGCGGCUUGUCAAGUCAGACGUGAAAUUCUUCGGCUUAACCGGAGCGGGUCAUCUGAGACUGGCAGGCUAGAGUGCAGGAGAGGAAAGCGGAAUUCCCGGUGUAGUGGUGAAAUGCGUAGAGAUCGGGAGGAACACCAGAGGCGCAAGCGGCUUUCUGGCCUGUAACUGACGCUGAGGCGCGAAGGCUAGGGUAG